rnacentral:rRNA from 1 species
UACGUAGGUGGCGAACGUUGUCCGGAUUUACUGGGCGUAAAGAGCGCGCAGGCGGUCGUGCAAGUCGCGUGUGAAAGCCCCCGGCUCAACUGGGGAGGGUCACGCGAUACUGCUCGACUCGAAGGCAGGAGAGGGAAGUGGAAUUCCCGGUGUAGUGGUGAAAUGCGUAGAUAUCGGGAGGAACACCUGCGGUGUAGACGGCUUACUGGACCGUGACUGACGCUGAGGCACGAAAGCGUGGGUAGCAAACAGG